rnacentral:rRNA from 1 species
ACCGACUAAUGUUGAAAAAUUAGCGGAUGACUUGUGGCUGGGGGUGAAAGGCCAAUCAAACCGGGAGAUAGCUGGUUCUCCCCGAAAGCUAUUUAGGUAGCGCCUCGUGAAUUCAUCUCCGGGGGUAGAGCACUGUUUCGGCAAGGGGGUCAUCCCGACUUACCAACCCGAUGCAAACUGCGAAUACCGGAGAAUGUUAUCACGGGAGACACACGGCGGGUGCUAACGUCCGUCGUGAAGAGGGAAACAACCCAGACCGCCAGCUAAGGUCCCAAAGUCAUGGUUAAGUGGGAAACGAUGUGGGAAGGCCCAGACAGCCAGGAUGUUGGCUUAGAAGCAGCCAUCAUUUAAAGAAAGCGUAAUAGCUCACUGGUCGAGUCGGCCUGCGCGGAAGAUGUAACGGGGCUAAACCAUGCACCGAAGCUGCGGCAGCGACGCUUAUGCGUUGUUGGGUAGGGGAGCGUUCUGUAAGCCUGUGAAGGUGUACUGUGAGGUAUGCUGGAGGUAUCAGAAGUGCGAAUGCUGACAUAAGUAACGAUAAAGCGGGUGAAAAGCCCGCUCGCCGGAAGACCAAGGGUUCCUGUCCAACGUUAAUCGGGGCAGGGUGAGUCGACCCCUAAGGCGAGGCCGAAAGGCGUAGUCGAUGGGAAACAGGUUAAUAUUCCUGUACUUGGUGUUACUGCGAAGGGGGGACGGAGAAGGCUAUGUUGGCCGGGCGACGGUUGUCCCGGUUUAAGCGUGUAGGCUGGUUUUCCAGGCAAAUCCGGAAAAUCAAGGCUGAGGCGUGAUGACGAGGCACUACGGUGCUGAAGCAACAAAUGCCCUGCUUCCAGGAAAAGCCUCUAAGCAUCAGGUAACAUCAAAUCGUACCCCAAACCGACACAGGUGGUCAGGUAGAGAAUACCAAGGCGCUUGAGAGAACUCGGGUGAAGGAACUAGGCAAAAUGGUGCCGUAACUUCGGGAGAAGGCACGCUGAUAUGUAGGUGAAGCGACUUGCUCGUGGAGCUGAAAUCAGUCGAAGAUACCAGCUGGCUGCAACUGUUUAUUAAAAACACAGCACUGUGCAAACACGAAAGUGGACGUAUACGGUGUGACGCCUGCCCGGUGCCGGAAGGUUAAUUGAUGGGGUUAGCGGUAACGCGAAGCUCUUGAUCGAAGCCCCGGUAAACGGCGGCCGUAACUAUAAC